GUCUCCUAAAAGAGAGCUGUUUAAAGGAAAACGUUUGACUAACUCAAAGACAAUUUCCACGCCUCCCCUGCCUGACUGCAGAGGCAGUUUUGAAUUUAGGAGCGCCAAGAUGGCAGCGGCAAACCCUGGCGGCUCUCCGGUGGAAAAGACCCGUCACCUUCUGGGAGAGGCGGCUCCCGUGGGAACAGCUCCCACCACCAAGUCCCUGAGUGAGUCUCUGUCCCCCAGCGUGAGCUCCAGCACUCUGUCCACGUCCACCUCCGCCUCCUCGCAGAUCUCCAGCACCACCUUUGAAAGCGUGAGAAGGAGCUGGCCACCAAGUGCCUGCGCCUUCUGACACACACCUUCAAUACUGAAUACAACCAGCUGGUGAACAGCAUCAGUGACUGCAAGCUUUCUCUCAUCUCACCGAUCGGACGUGAUCCAUCCGUGACGAGCUUCAGCAGUGCCACCCUCACCCCUUCCUCUACCUGCCCCUCUCUCUCGGACUCCCGCUGUGGCUCCAUGGGCCAGAAGACCCCUGAGAACAGCUCACGUGCCUCCAGUCCCUCCUGCUCAGACUGUGAAAACUUCCCGAUGGUUCCCACUCUGGAGACCUCCUUCCUUGCGCGGGCUGCAAAAGAACGAGUUCCUGAACUUGGUGCCUGAUAUUGAAGAAAUGCGACCAGGUUCAAGCAGAAAUGAUGUGGAUCGAUUCAAAUUCCUGAGCCUGGAUGAUUUCAGCUGGAAACAAACCAACUCUGCUUCUUCCUCAGAUAAUUCAAUUCAAUUCAAUUCAAUUUUAUUUAUAUAGCGCCA